rnacentral:lncRNA from 1 species
CACAGAUCUGCUGAAAGUGAAGCCUGGAGACUAAACUAUGAGUUCAAACUUGAUUCGUCUUUGGUGCAUCUGUUUCGUGCAAUUGAAUUCCUGCUUUCAUCAGAGUUUUCCAGUACGAAGUGUCUAGAUGUUAAUGAUAGAGCACUACAGGAAUCUUUCUUCCAGAAGGAGAAAAAGAAACGAUAAACAGCACAGAAGAAGACAAAGAGCACAGAAGUUACCAGAAAGAACCUUAAACAAACCUCAGGUCCCUAAUUUUACUGUUCAUAUGUAUGCAUUUAGAAGGGGCUACAGGAUACAGAGCAACCUUGAGGAGCUUUGCAACCAGACCACUACUUUAUCUUUGUUCCUGAUGAGAUUUCUCCAUUCAUCAGAUGUGGUCCUGGAAAGGGAUAUGUGCUUCUCCAUCUCUACAGUCCCAAGACACUGUCUCCCCUUCCCCAAAGCAGUACUCUUGCCAUCUGACAUUCCUGUAGCAGGAAG